GCUGGCGCUCAAAGUUAUUUGGCUAAUGAUUUGAAACCCCUUUCUGAAUGGCUCAAAAGUGGAACGUUUUAUAGGUCUACCAUAAUACAAGGUGUGUUGGACUACAUAAAUAAAGAAGAACUAGCGAGCGAACAUAAAAGUAAACUAAGUUCCAUAACCAAUGAACAACUAAUGGAUGUAACAGAAACAUUGCCGGAGGAUAUUCGUAUGUCAAAAAAGGAAUUAAAAGAAUUAAUAAAAAAACCAAAAUUUACUGAUGCGCAAUUAAACGAUAUUUAUGAUGCGGUACUAGAAGAUGCUAAGUCUUCAUAUCCAGUUAAAUUUUGCAUAAUUGAGAAAUUCGAAGAUAGGAAACAUGUACUACUUGAAAG